rnacentral:rRNA from 1 species
AUAAGAGCACGUGGUGGAUGCCUUGGCGAUGAUAGGCGACGAAGGACGUGAUAGCCUGCGAAAAGCUUCGGGGAGCUGGCAAAUUAGCUUUGAUCCGGAGAUAUCCGAAUGGGGAAACCCACCUGCAAAGGUAUCGCAUGCUGAAUACAUAGGCAUGCGAGGCGAACCGGGUGAACUGAAACAUCUCAGUAGCUCGAGGAAAAGACAUCAACCGAGAUUCCGAAAGUAGUGGCGAGCGAAAUCGGAAGAGCCUGUUAGUGAUAGCACAAGACUUAACGGAACAGUUUGGAAAGACUGGCCAUAGUGGGUGACAGCCCCGUACGUGAAAAGACCUGUGUGAUACUGAGCUAACGAAAAGUAGGGCGGGACACGAGAAAUCCUGUCUGAAUAUGGGGGGACCAUCCUCCAAGGCUAAAUACUCAUCAUCGACCGAUAGUGAACUAGUACCGUGAGGGAAAGGCGAAAAGAACCCCGGGAGGGGAGUGAAAUAGAUCCUGAAACCGCGUGCUUACAAAAAGUAGGAGCCUCGUAAGGGGUGACUGCGUACCUUUUGUAUAAUGGGUCAGCGACUUACAUUCAGUGGCAAGGUUAACCGAAUAGGGAAGCCGUAGAGAAAUCGAGUCCGAAUAGGGCGAUCAGUCGCUGGGUGUAGACCCGAAACCAAGUGAUCUAUCCAUGGCCAGGAUGAAGGUGCCGUAACAGGUACUGGAGGUCCGAACCGACUAGUGUUGCAAAACUAGCGGAUGAGCUGUGGAUAGGGGUGAAAGGCUAAACAAACUUGGAAAUAGCUGGUUCUCUCCGAAAACUAUUUAGGUAGUGCCUCAAGUAUUACCGUCGGGGGUAGAGCACUGUUUUGGCUAGGGGGUCAUGGCGACUUACCAAACCAAGGCAAACUCCGAAUACCGACGAGUACAGCUUGGGAGACAGAGCACCGGGUGCUAACGUCCGGACUCAAGAGGGAAACAACCCAGACCGCCAGCUAAGGUCCCUAAAAUUGGCUAAGUGGGAAACGAAGUGGGAAGGCUAAAACAGUCAGGAUGUUGGCUUAGAAGCAGCCAUCAUUUAAAGAAAGCGUAAUAGCUCACUGAUCGAGUCGUCCUGCGCGGAAGAUGUAACGGGGCUAAGCCAGUUACCGAAGCUGCGGAUUUGCAAUUUAUUGCAAGUGGUAGGAGAGCGUUCUGUAAGCCUGUGAAGGUGCGUUGUAAAGCGUGCUGGAGGUAUCAGAAGUGCGAAUGCUGACAUGAGUAGCGUUAAAGGGGGUGAAAAGCCCCCUCGCCGUAAGCGCAAGGUUUUCUACGCAACGUUCAUCGGCGUAGAGUGAGUCGGCCCCUAAGGCGAGGCAGAGAUGCGUAGCUGAUGGGAAACAGGUCAAUAUUCCUGUACCGAUGUGUAGUGCGAUGUGGGGACGGAUCUUAAUAGGUCAUCCGGGUGUUGGAUAUCCCGGUUUAGUGGGAAGUAGGCGUACGUUAGGCAAAUCCGGCGUACAUAUACCGAGGCCCAUGAUCGAGCGAGCUUGCUCGCGAAGUGACUGAACGAGGUUCCAGGAAAAGCCACUAAGCUUCAGCUACACACGACCGUACCGCAAACCGACACUGGUGCGCGAGAUGAGUAUUCUAAGGCGCUUGAGAGAACUCAGGAGAAGGAACUCGGCAAAUUGACACCGUAACUUCGGAAGAAGGUGUGCCCUAUUAGUGUGAUGAGAACAUCUGAGCAUGAAUGGGUUGCAAAAAAUCGGUGGCUGCGACUGUUUAUUAAAAACACAGCACUCUGCAAACACGAAAGUGGACGUAUAGGGUGUGACGCCUGCCCGGUGCUGGAAGAUUAAAUGAUGGGGUGCAAGCUCUUGAUUGAAGUCCCAGUAAACGGCGGCCGUAACAAUAACGGUCCUAAGGUAGCGAAAUUCCUUGUCGGGUA